GGCGUAUGCAGUGAUGGACAGAGAAUGGUUUUUCCAGAGAGAUAUCCCGAAUUUAAAUCACCAAAUCAGCAUUCAAACGCAACUGCAAAAGCAGUUAACAAAGAAAACAGUUUACAGAGCACAGAACGUGAACGUGAGAUGAGAAAGGAGCGCCUGAAGGAGUACAAUACCAGAAUAGAAAUGUGGAAACGGGACAAAGAAGGCAUUUAUCCUGACAAUUCCAAACAGAUGAAGAACUCAUGGUGAAGAAAUUUCAUCACUUUUCCUCUCGUAAAAUAAGAUUUGGAGUAUGCAGAAAUCAAAAUUGUGUGUCUAGAUGUUUGAAUAUGUGUAUAUAUGUCUGUCCAUUUUGCAGCCCACGAGUCAAUACUUGGUCUAGUAUAAUACGGUACUUUAUUGCAAUAGUGGUAGGAUUAUUUUUCACAGUUAAUUCAUUUACUUAAUUAUAUCUAUAUAUAGCAAACCUUUGGUCACAUAUAGACUAUCAGUUUAUUCAGUUGUUAAAUCCAGGCACAAAUACUUGAAACAAUUUCAUCAAACACAUCUAAACAACUAUAGGUUUGGCGUCAUAGGACCACAUAUUACAUUAAACCUACAUAUUGUACUUAUAUGCAACACUCGAUUAAAAUCGAAAGGCUGAUCCGAGUGGGCUAAGAAUAAACAUAUCGUAUGCGCGUGUCUGAUCCCAGGAGUGAAAGUACAGAACAUUGUCUGCGUUGAAUCCAGCAGCCAUAAAAAUUAUAAUC